CAGUGCGGCGCUGCUAACCAUGCAGUCGAACGGGAAACAGGGGCAACUCUGUGAGUACAGUGGCGUACGGGUCCAUUUAAGGUGACUACCUACCCUCGAGUGGGGGAUAACCCCCCUUAACCGGGGCUAAUACCGCAUAACAUCGCAAGAUCAAAGGAGUAAUCCGCUUGAGGAGGGGGUCGCGGCUGAUUACCUAGUUGGUGAGGUAAUGGCUCACCAAGGCGAUGAUCGGUAGCCGGCCUGAGAGGGCGCACGGCCACACUGGAACUGAAACACGGUCCAGACUCCUACGGGAGGCAGCAGUGGGGAAUUUUGCGCAAUGGGGGAAACCCUGACGCAGCAACGCCGCGUGGAGGAUGAAGUCCCUUGGGACGUAAACUCCUUUCGACCCGGACGAUAAUGACGGUACGGGUGGAAGAA
rnacentral:rRNA from 1 species